ensembl:lncRNA
CCCGAUUACUUCAUGUUUCUACAAUGCCAGGAAACUGUUUAUAACGGCACAUCCUCCAUCCUUCUUUCGGUAAGAACACUUUACAUGAUUUUGGUGAUAAACCAUAGAUUAUGAUAAUUUUAGGACUCAAUGCUAGUAAGAAUUAGAUGACCUCAUUCUGGCAUGCCAGCGUUCCACUGGACUGAAGGGUUUUAAGGUGCUCAAGGUUUGAUUUGGGGACAUAUACUGUUGAAUAUGUUUAUGUACUGCUGAGCUGCAUCACUGUGAGGUAUGGUAUUUUCACAGCUACGCUAACCAAAUAUGUAGAAAGUAUGUUUCUGGGCGACAUUUGACAAAAAAAUUCAGGCCCCAUUCAAAAACAUGACAAAAUCUGCCUUUUUAAUUUGCUAAACAUGGCAAAGGUCAAUCUGUUUCUCUGCCAGAGCAACACUGCAUGUUUCUAUCCCUAGCAGGCUCCACUAUUGCAACCCUGUUACACAAAAAGUGUAGACUCUUUAUAAAAUGUAAACAAAAACACAACACAUUUGAAUUGGAUGCCAGCAAAAUGUUUCAAAAAAGCUGGGACAGAGGCAACAAAAGGCUGGAAAAGUUGUGUAUUGCAAGAAAGAGGAUGAGUCACCCAAAGAGGAUGAGUCACCCAAAGAGGAUGAGUUUUUCAGAAGUAAAGAUGGUGAGGGCAACUGCACCGGCAAAUAGUGCAACAAUUUAAGAUACAUAAAAUUACAAAAAAGUUUGGAGAUCUCAUCAUCUGCCGUACAUAAUAUCAUUAAAAGACCAUAGGUUUUUAAUGCAGCACAUAACUGAAGGUAAAGAAAAAAAGAAAUAACAGGUAAAUUAAAUGUAUGUUGUAGAUCCAUAAAAGCACAUAAUCCUUUUUGCUCCAUUGGGAAUAUGUAAUUGGUCUCCUUCCUAUUAGGAGAUUAUAAUUUCGGAAACAAUUGUGUACGGAAAUGCCAGAUAACAUUGGAAUUGGUCUGCCUCAUUAUUAAUUUCCAAGUAGAUAAAACAAUAGAAAUAAUAGGUCCAUAAUGGAGUCGAGCAUGCUUAAAUUCACCAGUUGGCCAGAUAGUUUCAGUGGUCACGUAAGUCAAAAUAAUUUCACAUUUUUCCUGAGAGUAGAAAGAUAGCUGAUUUGUACAGCAUAUACAAUGCACACAGUACACACACAUACAUACACACACAUUACUACCUGUGGGCAGCCAACUAGAAUGGAACAAGAGGGCUUUUAAAUGCACUACCAAAAUCACAUGACAAUGAAUUUAACCAAUUACAUUUUCUGCUGUUGUAAAAAAUUCAUGUUUUCAUACCUGGGACAUACACAGAACUACACAGCACUACCCUCAACCAAACUGGCACUUUCAAUCUCAGCAUCAAUGACACCAUUGUUUCUGGUUCAGAACUCUGCAGCCAGACUACUGACUCACACCAAGUCCCAGCAGCACAUCACCCCUAACCUCUGUGAGUUACACUGGCUUCAUGUCUCCCAACGCAUUGACUACCUCCUAUUGACAUAUAAAGCCCUAAAGAUUAUCGCCCAUGCCUACCUCUCUGAUGUUCUUCCAUAUCAACCAACACACACACUAUGUUCCAGUACUGCGGGACACCUCAUAUUCCCCAAGUCCAAGCUCAAAAAAUUUGGUGACAGGGCAUUCUCAAGGGUUGCUCCUCGUCUCUGGAACUUUCUCCCCAAAACCAUCGGUGACUCUGAGACUAUCCCCAUCUUCCAGCAACGCCUCAAGACUCAUCUGUUCAAAAUCACCCCUAGCCACGCCAAAUCCCACACUCUCAAUCUUCGUUGUUUUCUCAUAGUAUUUCUUUUGUAUCAGUUUUCCAUGUCACUAUUGUACAGCGUCUUUGGGUCCCUGAAAAGCACAAUAUGAAUAUAAUGUAUUAUUAUUAUUACACAGACAGAUGUGUUCAUGUUGGCCUCUUAGUGGUUGUAUUUAGUGUAUUUAUUUGCCAUAUAUGUUGUGUUGUUGUUUAUGUCUCUAAGACUACAGGAAGAAACAACAAUGAGAACAACAGGAAGUGUGUUGGUGGUCGUUAUCUGGUCUGUGACAGGAACUAUGGCAACAGAAUGUGGACAAACAAGCCAAGUGACGGUGUCUCCCACCAACCCAGUGUGGGGACAGGAAGUGAUAGUGUCCUGUAACGACCCCUGUAGUCUGAUUGACAACCAAAACCACACCUACAUCUGGUACAAGAACGGACACCUAGUCGAUUCCUCCAUCCAGCAAUUCAAUGACACCAGUUUUUAUACAACCAGUUACUCCUGUGCUGUAGAUGGUUCUGAGGAUCUCCACUCUCCUGUAGUUUGUGUUGUUGGUUCAAACUGUAUCAAUGUGACUUACACUUAUCAGAGAAUAAUUGCCCCAAAGGGCUCAACUGUGGAUCUUCCCUGCACAUACCAACAUCCAAAUGAGCACACAGUCAUAGAAAUUAACUGGUAUAUCCAAGGAGAACGUGAUGAGGGACCAACAAACCUGAGUUCAUUGCCAGAGUAUUCAGGUCGUGUGAAGUACCUUGGAGAUAAUGUGCGUGACUGUACCCUGAGAAUCACAGACCUGAGAGAGACUGACUCAGCUGAGUACAAGUUCAGAUUUAAAACACCGUAUGGAGAGUGGGGGUACAGCUUCCCUGGAACAACUCUGACUGUAACAGGAAUAGGACAUGCUCUCCUGUCUCCCUGGGUCCCCGUGGUUACAGUGGGGGCCGUCCUCACUGUUGCAGUUCUUCUAGUCACCAUCUACUGUACCAUGAGGAGGAGAUCUACAGGAGGAAGUGACGCUACAACAGACCCACAGACCCCCACAUUGACCAACCAACACAUAUAUGCUGAGUCAUCUGUUUAUGAGAACUUAAGAUAACCACCACAGAAACUGGACUGAAGAGAACCACCACAGAACCUGGACUGAAGAGAACCACCACAGAACCUGGACUGAAGAGAACCACCACAAAACAUGGACUAUGGCACCAAAGCUAAGUCUCUAUUGUUACUGUGUUGCCACAGUGUUUCCAGACAAAUUCAAACUUUAGACUAUAUUCUGUAGUUGAUAUAUUUGUCCUUGUAAUGACAAUGUUCUAUGCAAACAUCUGUUGUAAUAAAUUACAUUAUAUAUGUUCUUCUCUGUUUAGGUAUGUAUCAAAUGUGUUUGAUUAUGAUUCAGCUUUUGUUGUGAUUUUUGCCAUUCAUAUAUUCCUUUAGCUCUUUAGAGAUUGAUAUGGAUAAUACUGAUAACAGAAUUAAAUAUUGUUUGUUCCUGGACCACGUGCUAUUGAUUUGUUCACUGAUUUCAGGCAGACAUAUUUAUUAUAGUAAAAUGCCAAAU